rnacentral:rRNA from 1 species
GACAGAGGUGCCAAGCGUUAGGCGGAAUCACUGGGCUUAAAGCGUGUGUAGGCGGAUCGUUAAGUACCUUGUGAAAUCCCACGGCUCAACCGUGGAACUGCUGGGUAUACUGGUGUUCUUGAGCCACUUAGGGGCGAGCGGAACAAAUGGUGGAGCGGUGAAAUGCGUAGAUAUCAUUUGGAACGCCAAUGGUGAAAACAGCUCGCUGGGAGUGUGCUGACGCUGAGACACGAAAGCCAGGGUAGCGAACGGG